GAAAAAUCAACACUGCAACGGGAGUCUAGAUGGGCUGGGAAGGAAAAUCACAUGAGACUUCGUUGGUGUCCUGGGAGGACAGGAUGAGCACUUCCACCCUCGAGUGCAUUUGUAUUUCAGGACUUCCAGUUGAGUGGUGUCCACAGCAGGUCACUGAGAUGUGAGCGUGGAGAGAGGAGCCUGCAUGACCAGACUAGAACUCAGGGAGCUGGCGCUUCUCAAAUUCCUGUUGAUCCAAAGCAAAUUCACCUCAGAAGGGGAGAGCGCACUUACUGCCAAGAGAAGACUGUGACUCACACCUCGAAUAGACCGUCUUUCUUUUUGCAAGGAGGAGGCCCGGAAGGAUGUCUCACUGGGAUCUCGGGGAGCACAUGAGACAGCAGAGGCACCCAGGAAGAGGUGGGAGAGUGGUGAAGUAAGACCAAUGAGAAGUACAUCGUAAUUCACUAUAGCAAAUGUUAACCAUUUCUGGAAAAGGGAAGUCCUGCCAACUAACUACUGGUGCAGCUGUUAAGCUGGGUUGGUGGAGGCCUGUAGCUGCUGCAAGAGUGAAGAUUUCCAGCACGCUGUGAUGUUUCACUUUAACAACCGCAGGAGGAGGAUGUGAUGUUAUCUCCAUUGAUGGAGACACUUUGGAGACAUGGAGAGGUUAAGAAACUUUCUCGAGGUCAUGCAGUAGGAGGUGGCAGCCCAGGGUUCAGCUUCAGUCCAACUGCCUUUUCACCAGUGUUCCUGCUUUGCUUCCCCAGAUGCGCAGCUGACCCUCUUAUCUCAGCUGACAUGGUUAAAAGUGAGAAUGGAUGGAUCCCGUGCAGGGAAGGCCCGUGACAUCAAACCCAACCCUCGCCCUCAAAGUGGAAUAAUCCGUACUCUCCAAAGGAGUCUCUGAUGGUGAUUUGAUCCGGACCUCACGGAUCCACACUUUGGCUUUUUAUCUGUUGUGUCCUCAUUUCUCAAACUUGGAAAUUUCCAUGCAAACAGAGCUGCAGAAGGAAAAAAAUGUGUUCCAGUUUGCCAGUAGAAAUACAAUGCAAGACACAUGAGUAAUCAUGUAUCUUCCAGGAGCUGUGCAUUAGAACUGUAAUAAGAAACAGGUGCUGUUUUAAAAAUACAUUUAAUUUAGCCCAGUAUGUCACAAAAAUACUAUAAGUUGAACAAGUACGUGUGUACAGUGUGUGUGUGUGUGUGUGUGUGUGUGUAUAAGCCUCUGUUCUCCUGUAGUAACCUCUGGAAAGACAACUUUAGGCCACUGGAUUUUGAAGAGGCGACUAACAAAUGACACCACUCUGGACUUCACUCCCGGCUCUGCUCUGCCACUUACUAGGUAGCCAACAUGGUACAAAAUAUUAAUUGCUUGCAAUUGGAACUAUGUUGUUUCAAAUGUGUACCUAGAAGCUGUAGAUGUGCAUCAGAGGUGGGGCUUUUGGAGAGGAAAGGUUCUUCCACCUGGCUCCAAGCUUUCCAUUCUGCUUCAGCCAGAGAAAAUCUUUAUCAGAUUUAGAUAACCUUCGUUUUGAGGAAAAAGAUUCAUACUUAAAAUUAAUUUGCAGUUUACUCUAAUAGGCAGUGUAGGACUAAACUGUAUGCCUAAUUAUGAAAAACGAUUUAUGUGUUAGGGCUAUGUUGUUUUAUGACGUAGGGCACUGGGAGACUUGGUCACUUCCGGAAAGGUCAUUACUUACUUUGGAAAUGAGGGGAACAUGUUACACUAUCAUGGAUGUGGCGAAGCAAGUCCUGCACACAUCAUACCGGUGAAUUUCCUGUCGGACCCUCUGUGUUCCACAAGCCAGAACACUGACAAUCUUAUACUCUGCUUAUCCGGUGGAGAUGCCCAGGUGCGCACAGGCAGCCCCACAGUGGUGUCAGGAAGGGAGGCCCUGUCCUGAGAGCUCCAAACACAGAGUGGGUUGGGAGAGGGCCGCCCUCUGGGAGGGCCCGCACAGUCUCAACCAGAUGAAGUGCGCUUCGUAACAUUUCAGGUCAUGUGAAACCCAAGGAAAUAAAAGAAACCACGACAAACACAAAAGCAACCAGUUAUUGGUUAAGGAAAAACUCCUCAGGGAUCAGGCCAGUGGAGUUGUGAAAUCUAAAAUUCUUGCUAUAAAUGCAUUUCAACUGCUAAAACAGG
ensembl:lncRNA